GAUGAAGAACGCAGCGAAAUGCGAUACUUGGAGUGAAUUGCAGAAUCCCGUGAACCAUCGAGUCUUUGAACGCAAGUUGCGCCUCAAGCCAUUAGGUUGAGGGCACGUCUGCCUGGGCGUCACAUAUCGUUGCCUGCUGCCAGUUUCCUCGUGAUGGGUGACUGUGCAGGGCGAAUGAUGGCUUCCCGUGAGCAUUGUUGCCUCAUGGUUGGUUGAAAAUUGAGUCCUUGGUAGGGAGCGCCGUGAUAGAUGGUGGUUGAGUGACGAACGAGACCCAAUCAUGUGAGACCCCUACCGAAUUUGGCCUUCAUGACCCACAUGCGUCUUUGGAACGCUCAUGACGAGACCUCAGGUCAGGCGGGGCUACCCGCUGAGUUUAAGCAUAUCAAUAAGCGGAGGA
rnacentral:misc_RNA from 1 species